rnacentral:rRNA from 1 species
ACUGAACGCUAGCGGCAUGCUUAACACAUGCAAGUCGAACGGCAGCGCGGGGAGCUUGCUCCCUGGCGGCGAGUGGCGGACGGGUGAGUAAUGCGUAGGAAUCUGCCUUAUAGUGGGGGAUAACCCGGGGAAACUCGGGCUAAUACCGCAUAAUCUCUAUGGAGCAAAGCAGGGGACCUUCGGGCCUUGUGCUGUAAGAUGAGCCUACGUCGGAUUAGCUAGUUGGUAGGGUAAAGGCCUACCAAGGCGACGAUCCGUAGCUGGUCUGAGAGGACGAUCAGCCACACUGGGACUGAGACACGGCCCAGACUCCUACGGGAGGCAGCAGUGGGGAAUAUUGGACAAUGGGGGAAACCCUGAUCCAGCAAUGCCGCGUGUGUGAAGAAGGCCUUCGGGUUGUAAAGCACUUUCGGUGGGGAAGAAAAUACCUAAAAGUAAUACCUUUAGGAGUUGACGUUACCCACAGAAGAAGCACUGGCUAACUCUGUGCCAGCCGCCGCGGUAAUAC